rnacentral:rRNA from 1 species
GUGGGGAAUUUUGGACAAUGGGCGCAAGCCUGAUCCAGCCAUUCCGCGUGCAGGAUGAAGGCCUUCGGGUUGUAAACUGCUUUUGUACGGAACGAAAAGCCUCUGGUUAAUACCCGGGGGUCAUGACGGUACCGUAAGAAUAAGCACCGGCUAACUACGUGCCAGCAGCCGCGGUAAUACGUAGGGUGCGAGCGUUAAUCGGAAUUACUGGGCGUAAAGCGUGCGCAGGCGGUGAUGUAAGACAGACGUGAAAUCCCCGGGCUCAACCUGGGAAUGGCGUUUGUGACUGCAAAGCUGGAGUGCGGCAGAGGGGGAUGGAAUUCCGCGUGUAGCAGUGAAAUGCGUAGAUAUGCGGAGGAACACCGAUGGCGAAGGCAAUCCCCUGGGCCUGCACUGACGCUCAUGCACGAAAGCGUGGGGAGCAAACAGGAUUAGAUACCCCGGUAGUCC